NUGAACGCUGGCCGGCAGGCCUAACACAUGCAAGUCGAGCGGAAACGAUGGAAGCUUGCUUCCAGGCGUCGAGCGGCGGACGGGUGAGUAAUGCAUAGGAAUCUGCCCGGUAGUGGGGGAUAACUUGGGGAAACCCAAGCUAAUACCGCAUACGCCCUACGGGGGAAAGCAGGGGAUCUUCGGACCUUGCGCUAUCGGAUGAGCCUAUGUCGGAUUAGCUAGUUGGUGAGGUAAUGGCUCACCAAGGCUGCGAUCCGUAGCUGGUCUGAGAGGAUGAUCAGCCACAUCGGGACUGAGACACGGCCCGAACUCCUACGGGAGGCAGCAGUGGGGAAUAUUGGACAAUGGGCGAAAGCCUGAUCCAGCCAUGCCGCGUGUGUGAAGAAGGCCCUCGGGUUGUAAAGCACUUUCAGUGAGGAAGAACGCUUGUGGGCUAAUACCCUGCAAGGAAGACAUCACUCACAGAAGAAGCACCGGCUAACUCCGUGCCAGCAGCCGCGGUAAUACGGAGGGUGCGAGCGUUAAUCGGAAUUACUGGGCGUAAAGCGCGCGUANGCGGCUUGAUAANCCGGUUGUGAAAGCCCCGGNCUCAACCUGGGAACGGNAUCCGGAACUGUCA
rnacentral:rRNA from 1 species